AACAACUUUAUAUCGUCACGUACGCGGUAUCCCAAAGAAUCGAGAAGAGCGGCGCAUUUCUUAAAUUUCGCCGAAUAUAAAACGCCCGAGUUGCAUAGAAACGAAGCUUUCACUGCCAUCGUAAUCUACUCGGAAACAAGCUCCGGGAGUAUCCGCUCGCCGAAUAAAAAAAAAAAAAAAAAAAAAAAAAAAAAAAAAAAAAAAAAAAAAAAAAAAAAAAAAAAAAAAAAAAAAAAAAAAAACUGUAGAGAGUUGUAAAAAAAAGUAUUUUGAAGCGUGAAGCUUCACCUUUCAGAUGCUAAACCCUCUCUGGUACGUGUAUGUGCGAUUUGCUCGUGGCUGUGUCUGUGUUUGUUUUUGUGUGUGUUUAUGUCAGUGUAUGACUAAAAUCGCGUGUUACCGC
rnacentral:misc_RNA from 1 species